AGGAGGAACAACCGCAGUGGUGGAGGUCAGCUCUGGAGCCCUGGAGUCAGCUCCCGCAGUAACUCCGGAGCUCUCCGUCUGCAGGGCCUGGAGGCUCCGGGGCGGG
rnacentral:pre_miRNA from 1 species